CUGCCUCUGCAGGCCGGCUGCUCCCAGGCUGGGCGAGGCCAGCAUCCCUUUGAAGGCCUCACCCUCAAGCACGACUGGGAGC
rnacentral:pre_miRNA from 1 species